CACCCCGAUGCCCUCACCCCAUAGCCAAGUUGUUGUGGGGUUUUUUUGUUUGUUUUUUCUGGGUAUUCAAUAAAGUACGUCAUCAAAGUGUGCGUUUUUACCCUUGCAGAAGCAACAUUGGAUUUAUCUUACUUCUGUUAUUGCAGACAAAGGCUCUGCAGACGCUCCUAGACGGAUAUGUUUUAAUGUGCUCCUAUGUGGAUUGACUUAAGUCCAUUUUCCACAUGUUGAUCCUUGAAUUUUUCAGGAAGGUCUUAUUACAUUGUGGAAAUGUUGGUGCCACCGGUGGUUGUGGAAACAUUGGCACUCCAAAGCUGACACUUUUCCCCAUUCGCUUAUGAGACCUCUUCGGUGUUUAAAUGACAAAUAUAUCAAAUACUCCUCAAGUACACCUUCAGAAUGAAUGAUACAGGCCCAGAGUACUGUUGUGGUCAACACUAACAAUAAAUCGUUGUCAUUCAGAUACCUCAAAAUAAACAAUUUUAGGAAUUACUGGGCAACACACACAUACAACACACACACAAGUUAGAACACGUUAUCAUGUACAUUCCAAUUAUACAAGUAAUAGUUUGCUUCCUUAGAAUAUGAACAUCAGCAGUGCAGACAUCCGAGAACCUGGAAAUAUAAGAUCCCCUUGUUAUAAGAAGAAUUCGGUGAUUUACAGCUUAGAUACC